GUGAAGCUUGCAAUGGACCCGUCUCCGCUCUAAGAUGGCUUGGUUACACAUGCAAAUUGUGUUCAAGGUCGUGGCACAAAUCCUGCAUGAAUCCGUUGCAGGAUGUUGAUGAGCAUGUUUCCGACUCUGCAAGUAGUCACGGCACUUCCUCCGGUGAUCUCUUUCACAUUGACACUGAAUCAAGUUGUGAUGGAAAUAGUGAUAGUGAGGAUCCACAGUGGGUAAACCUACCACAUCGCAAGGGUGGACCAGUUAAAUCACUUUAUUCUCAGGAAAGGACAGAGAGAGUGCCACAACCUGUCCUGCAUGGAACAGGAAGACAAGGAUUCUUCCAACUCUGUAAAAUUCGACAUUGAUGAUGACCACAUACCUGAUAGUGAACCCUGUUGUGAUGAUGAUCCUACAACAAGCAAUACCCAGACUCUUCUAUCAAGUACAAAAGAGGCUUCUUCUAAUGAGGCUGCAGUGGUGCCAGAAGUCUCUCCUUGCACUCCAAGAAAUUACUGCUAUGUUUGCAAAACACCUCAAUCGAAAAUAUCCCGUCAUCUUAAAAAACAUGAAAAAGGAGAGCUUGAUAUUGCUGAAGCAUUCUCGUUUCCUAAGAAAUCAAAAGAGAGAAAAAGACUACUUGAGAAGUUGCGGAACAGAGGUAAUUACGAACACAACCAGGAAGUUUUGAGGAAUCAUGAAGGACAACUGAAAUUAAG